UACGAAGGGGGCUAGCGUUGCUCGGAAUCACUGGGCGUAAAGCGCACGUAGGCGGCUUCUUAAGUCAGGGGUGAAAUCCUGGAGCUCAACUCCAGAACUGCCUUUGAUACUGGGAGGCUCGAGUCCGGGAGAGGUGAGUGGAACUGCGAGUGUAGAGGUGAAAUUCGUAGAUAUCUGGAGGAACACCGGUGGCGAAGGCGGCAUCCUGGACCGACAUUGACGCUGAGGCGCGAAAGCCAGGGGAGCAAACGGG
rnacentral:rRNA from 1 species